UGGAGGAACAACCCCAGUGGCGGGGCCAGCUCUGGAGCCCUGGAGUCAGCUCCCGCAGUAACUCCGGAGCUCUCGGUCUGCAGGGCCUGGAGGCUCCGGGGCGGG
rnacentral:pre_miRNA from 1 species